UUCUGACGCUGAGGCACGAAAGCUAGGGGAGCAAACGGGAUUAGAUACCCCGGUAGUCCUAGCCCUAAACGAUGAGCACUAGACCGAGGGAUUCUCCAUGAUCUCUUGGUCGUAGGGAAACCGUUAAGUGCUCCGCUGGGGAGUAUGGUCGCAAGGCUGAAACUCAAAGGGAAUUGACGGGGGCUCACACAGCGGUGGAGGAUGUGGCUUAAUUCGAGGCUACGCGAAGAACCUUAUCCUGGUCUUGACAUGCACGGAUUAACCCCGUGAAAGCGGGGCCACGCCUCUCUGAGGUGGAACGUGCACAGGUGCUGCAUGGCCGUCGUCAGCUCGUGUCGUGAGAUGUCGGGUUAAGUCCCUUAACGAGCGAAACCCCCGUCGUUAGUUGCCAUCGGGUCGUGCCGGGUACUCUAGCGAGACUGCCGGUGUUAAACCGGAGGAAGGUGGGGAUGACGUCAAGUCCUCAUGGCCUUUAUGACCAGGGCUGCACACGUCCUACAAUGGCGCGUACAAAGGGAAGCAAACUCGCGAGAGGGAGCAAAUCCCAAAAAGCGCGCCCCAGUUCAGAUUGCAGGCUGCAACUCGCCUGCAUGAAGCCGGAAUCGCUAGUAAUCGCGGAUCAGCAUGCCGCGGUGAAUGUGUUCCUGAGCCUUGUACACACCGCCCGUCAAGCCACGAAAGUGGGGGGCAUCCGAAGUCGCCGAGCUAACCCGAAAGGGAGGCAGGUGCCGAAGAUGAACUCCGCGACUGGGACUAAGUCGUAACAAGGUAACCGUAAAU
rnacentral:rRNA from 1 species